GUAUACCUUUAUCUUAAUGAUGCCUGAAUCACCUGAUUUUCCCCUAUGCGAGAAAGAGACGAAUCUUCAACAGAGAUAUAUGAAAAAAAAUCUUCGAUAUUCUUGUAGAAUUCAAAAAGCUACGUGUAAUGCACACACUGGUGGAGCUAGAAGCCGAGGUAAACAUCAUUAGUGCUAAUUGAUAACGGAACGAAAACAAAAAGUUUUGCAACAUAGGACUACAUGGUCACAAGCUAUAAGUUCUUUCCCAGUAACUAUUGCAAUUAUUUAGCAUUUAGUAGGAUUUCAUUACAUCAUAUACUCUCUAUUAAUGUUCUAAUUAUCUAUAGUUCAUCAGGUAACUUGUAAAAUUUUGCAGUUCGGGAGUUGAAGAGCCUUUAAGAUAUCAUCGCCCAAGCCAUCAACUUUAGUUAAAUAUGCACAAAAAUUAAAUUCAGAACCUAAUUACUAAAAUGAUGUUGCUAUCCUAAAAUUUAGAAACUCAAAUUCAGGUACUAAAAAUUUAAACCCAUAAAGUUCAAUCAUAGCUCCUUGUACACAUAUACAUACAUGUAUCAGCAUCUGAACGCACACACAUAUAAUAGGCUCCGGGGCGGACCUACGUGGGUGUGGGGGUUCACCCAGACCCCUCGGCAACAAAUUACAUUGUAUAUAGAGGGUAGAAAAUCUAUAUUUCGAUGCAUAUAUUAAUUUUAAACCAUCUGAACCAAAAAUAUGAGACAACUCAGUGGUACUGGGCUGCGCCGCUGCGCUACUUGGGUCGCAGGCACCACCAGUCCCACUUCGCAAGUUUGAUUCUCACUGAGGUGAGCAGGCUGCCUAAUUUUUGUUUUUAAUUCAUUUUUAAAACCCUGAGAAAAAAUUCUGAAUCCGCCACUGUAUAGGCUUGAUGCAUUGACACCCCUCAAAAAAAAAUUUAGUUUAGAAACUUCAACUAUACGACUUGUUCUUCAAUUGAGUACCUCAAUUGAUCUCAACUCAUAAUAAAGUGUUCCUACUAAACAUUUAUGAUACAAAUUUUAAAAAUUCUACGCGUGAUCUUAAAUACACAUUGCAUGAAUAAGUUAACUCUUUAAAUAUAGGCGCCUUAAAUAUAUAAUCUCCUUUAAUUAUACACAUCAUCCUCAAUUAGAAUAUAUUUGAGAUUUUAAGCUUAUUGAGAUUAAUUCGCAUAAUUAAAAAAACAACAAAUAAUGGUUAAUGACAAAAUAUAUCUAAUAACAAUACUUUAUCCCGACUCAUGCAAUACUUUAUCAUGUGUCCAUAUGUUCAACUGAAAUAAAUUAUAAUUCAAAUGUCUAAAUGAAAUUUACUUACAAGAAUAAGAGAUUGUUAGAUGUAUUAAGCCUAUAUUAUAUGCAAGAGAAGAACUGGUCUGUUUCUUCCUCUAUAUUCAGAAAUAUACUACUAAAUGUUCUGAUAUUGGUCGAGUAUAUUUCAUGUUUGAUUAGGAUUUGGGAGUACAGAUGUACAGUCACAUAAGCAGAUUGUAAAACAUAAAAUUAGUAAGUACUCCUACAGAAGAUAACAAAGCUAGCCAGGUAAAGCAUUGAAUUAAUUAAGCUGCAAUUAAUAGAACUACUAAGACGGACUAUUGGAAUAAGUUUUACCAUUAAUUAAUCCCUUACUUAACUCUAACAACAUCGGUUCCUUCCAUUUUUUUGCAAUAUAAUAUAAGCAAUCAAUUUUUCUUUAUUUUCUUACUACUACUAUUUUGCUACGUAUAAAAGUUCGAAUUAUUAUACCAGUGAUAGAAAACCGGUGAAUGUACGCGUGGCGUCGCCUGAGAAAUCGAUAGUUUCGGCCGUUUGCUGCCGUGUCUUGCCACCGUUAUUGUCACAGCCAAUCGUUAGCUUGCUGCCGCCUCCAGCCGUUAUUGUCACAGCCAAUCGUUAGCUUACUGCCGCCUCUUCUCUAUUUGCCUUUUCUUUUCUUUCAACACAUUUCGUGCACCGCCGAAAGUUUAAGUUUUGUGUACGGAUAUUC
rnacentral:lncRNA from 1 species